ACGCUCGACACCUACUGGAGGCAGCAGUGGGGAAUAUUGCACAAUGGGGGAAACCCUGAUGCAGCGACGCCGCGUGAGUGAAGAAGUAUUUCGGUAUGUAAAGCUCUAUCAGCAGGGAAGAAGAUGACGGUACCUGAGUAAGAAGCCCCGGCUAACUACGUGACAGCAGCUGCGGUAAUCUGAGCGGGCUGGCAAGGC
rnacentral:rRNA from 1 species